UUCGAGUAUUUUUAACUAAUGAUUUCGUCGAUUUUAUUCGGUUCAAGCUCGUUUUCGCGUAUAUAUAAAACUAUAAAAAUAACAAAGCAAUCGUGUCGUUAAUCUUUACCAAGUCAUUACGCCGAAAAGUCGAGCCGCUUAACUGAACUGACCGAGUCAACUCAGUUGACUCGGUUUGACUGUGUUGACCGAGUUGACUCGGGUUUGACCGAGUCAACUGAACCUGCUGACUAACGUUGACCUGAAACGAAACAUAAUCUGAAUCGCAAAUCUGAACUAAACCGAGUUCAUCUCUUGAACUGAAACGAGACUUGAAUUGAUACCCACUCCAACGCUUGAUGUUGAACCCGAAAUUCUGACCCGAGACUCCCGAGCAUGAACCAAACGCUCGAACUUGUGUCUGAUCUGGACUCGAACUUGACCGAGAACCCGAACCGAAGGUUGACCAGCCGUUGACUUCUGAAAAACCGACGAAUUACCCGGAAGGUAAAGAAAAAAAAUAAUAAUAAUACAAAACAUAAAUCGGCUCACCGGAGCUUCUGUCGGGUGGAAACGGCUGCCGCGAAACCCACCGGAUAUCCUGCUGACCACCGGAUAAACGAACCGACCGGCGGUCCGAGCCUUUGACCGCCGGUUCUCCCUCUCUCUCUCUCUCUGGUUAUCUCCGGUAAACCCAUCGUCCCGCCGCCUCCUCCAUUGCCGCCGCCGUGAGCGGCGGCGCCGCUCCCUUCUCCGCCUUCUUUCUCUUUCUCUCUCUCGAUUCUCUCCUCUCUAUCUUCUUGUUUCAGUGCUCAACACUUACCACCACCCGAUGUGCUCAACACUUACCACCACCCGAUGGUGGUGGUCGUUACUUGAUCUGUCGAGGGGGGGGGGGUAUAUAACAGAAAGGGGGUGUGGGUGUUAUAGAGGAUAGAAAUAGAACCCGGUAGAUGGCGUCACUCCGGUUGCCAGAGCCGAAGCCGGAGAAGAGAGAUGAGAGUAGAGCAGGUUCUUGUUUGCUUGAGUAUUUGAGGACAUGAGGUCCCUGUGUUUAUUUGCUCAGUGAGUGUGACCGAGAGAGGAUGAGAGUGAAAAUGAGAGGCUGUUUAGAAUUUGUAUGUGUGUAAAUUAAUAUGC
rnacentral:lncRNA from 1 species